CCGUACUGCUCUUUGCUCAAAAAAUGAGCCGUACCCUGGCUGACUUGACGAAGGAUUUUACAUUGUUUCUUUCAUUCACUGCGACUCUUCAAUCACUCUGAUAUUGCACAUUCCUGAAAUUUGACACGGGGUGAAAAGAGACA
ensembl:ncRNA T09A5.21 ncRNA